UGGUAUGGAAACUCAUCUAUUUAUGGCUCUAGCUACCCUUAAUCUUGUACAAUGACAAGCCUUUCUAACCGGUAGCUUGGUUGACCGAUUGCCAACUUCUACUCUUAAGAGAUUUUUCCCAAGGUUUCAAGGAGAAAACUUUGACAGAAACAAGAUCUUAUAUCUGAAAGUAAAGAAGAUGGCUGAGAAGCAUGGAUGUACCACUGCACAACUUGCACUUGCCUGGGUUCUUCAUCAAGGAGAUGAUGUAGUACCUAUUCCUGGUAAGUCCACAUUCUGUAAUUUUCAACAUCCACUUUCCCCUUCUUGAUAGCCCGCAGAUAUUUCAACCAACAAGGCCCUUUCUUUCUCAUUUUGUAGGAACAACAAAGACAAAAAAUCUUGAUGGCAACAUUGAUUCACUGAGGGUGAAGCUCACAGAAGAAGAUUUACAAGAGAUUUGUGAUGUGAUCCCCAUUAAUGAGGUAGGAGGCGCUCGUAUGCCGGAUGGUUUAAGUCAUCUGACGUGGAAGUUUGCUAACACACCACCAAAGGAUAGCAAGAUUUCAACUUAAAUUAAACUGAACGAUGGAUGCAAAAUCUGCAGCAGAAUAUGAUGUUUUUGGUGAAUGGACUCUCUCCAUCAACGGAAACUAUUGAAAGACUAGAAGUUUGUGUUGAUGAGUUAGUAAGCUUUGGAUACAAUAAUAAAGGGUUGUAGUUGGCAUUGUAGCUUUGCCGUUGAAUGCUUAUCAGAGAAAGAAUGCAUUUACUUGUAUUGUUUUUCUGUCUGUGCAUUGUUGGUGGUAAUCCCCAAUGCUUAUAAUUGUCAACGGCAAAGGUUAAGAUGCUGUAUAAGAACUAUGUUUUUAUUUAGUGCUCUAAUAAUAUAAUUCAUCUUGGUCUCAUCUUUUUUCUCAUUUUAACUUAGAUAUCUAUAUAUUUUCGUAAGUGAUUUCUGUAAUAAAUUAAACCCAAAACAUAAACAGGAAAGAUAAAUGUAAAUAAAAAAGGUAAAUUCAAAAAAUAUAUAUACAAUAAAAACAAAAAACAAUUAAAUUUUAUUGACAUGAUUUUUUUUGUAUAUACAACACAAUUGAGAUAAAAUGAACACAACUUUUAUUAUAUAUACGUGACCAAAAAAUCAUGUCAUGACUCAACUUCUCUUAUAUAUAUGGCUCAAUCUAGACUUGUGAUCAACAAAGGACCACAUUAGUAUUUUUAAUAUCUUAGCAUGAUGAUGCAUGUCAUCACAUAAUGAACUUCAUAUCAACAAAUUAUGAUACAUCAAUUUGAUCAAAAUCUCACGUCAAUAUUCUUAACGAUAAAAUUUAAUAGUGUUAAUAUUAAAAAUUUUAAAUUAAUAAAUUAAAAAAGUAUAAUAACUUAAUUUACAUGAAUUAUUAUUCAAGAUUAAAUCCAUAUUGUAUAAUUUUGCAUCUUAGAUUCUUUUUGUUGAAAUGCCAAGUGACAAGCUCCUAUUGAACAAUAACCUUCUACUUCUUGAAACAAAGACGUGAGAAAUGCGUAAUUAAAUGUGUUCCCCAAUGUAGGGAACUUAGGAUUGGGAUAGUUCCAUAUAGCCCUCUUGGUCGCGGUUUCUUUGGUGGCAGGGCGGUUGUGGAGAGUGUGCCUGCAAAUAGUUUUCUGGUAUGGAAACUCAUCAAUUUAUGGCUUUAAUCUACACUCAAUCUUGAUAGCUUGUUUUUCCAUAAAAAAUAAGGGCACCUUUUUGACUGAUUGGCAACUUCUUCUUUAAGAGUAGACAUAUUACCCAAGGUUUCAAGGAGAAAACUUGGACAGAAACAAGAACUUAUAUUUGCAAAUGGAGAAGUUGGCACAAUAUCAUGGAUGUACCCCUGCACAACUAAUUCUUGGCUGGGUUCUUCAUCAAGGGAAUGAUGUAGCACCUAUUCCCGGUUAGUCACAUUCUGUAUGUAUGCUCUUAGAUAGCAGACAAUACAGAUAUUUCAACUACAUCACAUUAGAAUUGACAUAAUUUACAAGUACAUAUCAUAAAUUUGCCUUGUUUGUUAUGUGCAUUAGAAAUAUGACUUUUGACCCUCGGUUACAUGUUCUUGUAGGUACGACCAAGAUCAAAAAUCUUGAUAGCAACAUUGAUUCUCUAACAGUGAAGCUCACAGAAGAAGAUUUAAAGGAGAUCACUGAUGUGGUUCCCAUAAACGAGGUAGCAGGGCCUGGAACGCUGGAUAGUUUUUUUCAGGUCUCAUGGAAAUUCGCUAAUACACCCCCAAAGGAGAAACAAGAUUUUAAGUUAAAGUAAUUAUGGAUGCAAAGCCUGUAGCAAAACAUGAUGCUUUUGGUUAAUGUACUCUCCUGCAACCGAGGCUAUAGAAAGCCUACAAGUUUGUACUGAUUUACUAAGCUUACCUUUAAAAAGGGUUCACUUAUAACCAGGCUACUAGCUGUGCUGUCGAAUGCAUGUGCUUGCUUGGUUUUUCUGUCGUUUCUUAGUUGCCGGCAAUUUUCCAAUGGUUAUUGUAGUUGUUACAACACUGUCUAAGAAGCUAUUUUAAUAAAUAUGCUUUUAUUUAGUGCUAUGAUUUAUUCUUCUUGAUAUUCUUUUUCCUCUCUAUGUAACCUGCUGCAACCAUAAUAACAGAAACCAUUGCAUCUACCGGAAGAAGAAUUUGGCAAAAAAAAAAUAUUUUUUUCAUUGUGACUUCCAUGGUCUGAAGGAAAUAGUAGGAAAUAUAGCAGCUCAUCUUGGCAAUGCAGGGUUAUUUUUUUUAUCUGAUAACAUGACUAUUCUGCAUUUUUGACUAAUUCUUUGCCUUUUGAAAGUAACAGUUCUUGGAACAUAAUUUUCACUGUUUCAACAAAGUAUUCCAAAAGAAUGACAUGUGGGGUGACAUGUUUACUGGCGUCACCAAGUUGAUAGACAAUUCAACUCAAAAUCAAGAUUCUGGAUAUAAGGCUGCUACUAUUUAUGCACAACAAGGACACUUGGCCGUCUAGUAGAUCGUUUAUUAGUUACUGGUUUUUGAGCUGUAAGCUAACAAGAGAAGCCUCAGCUCAAUAACACAACAUAAAAAGGGAACAGAAGAUGGUUGAGGAGCAGAAGAGAAUUCAAAUUCCUAGAAUGAAACUGGGAAAUCAAGGACUUGAGGUUAGAUUUUGUUCUUCUUAAGAGUAGUCAAGAGAAGGGUUGUUAUGAGUUGCAUAUAGAAUGUUUAUGAGGUGAUAAGCCCUGAAUUUUUAUUAAUCUUUACAACCGUUCCUCAGUUUUUGGUUGAACUGCUGAUAUGCAGUAUGUAAGGUACUGGAUAUUCUGAUUCUACUCUCCUAAAAACAUGCUAGGACUCAACUUUUUAAACUCAAUCAGAAUUUAACUUUCCAUCAAGUUCACACGAUUUCUUUCCCAGAACACUAUUUUCUAACACUCUCGUUUCUGAGAAUCCACUGUUUAUGUAGGUUUCCAAGUUGGGGUUUGGCUGCGCGGAACUUUCUGUUGUAGCCUACGGUGAUCCUCUCCCUGAUGAUGUUGGCAUAUCGAUCAUCAAGCAUGCUUUUGAUAGAGGAAUCACUUUCUUCGAUACAUCAGAUAGCUAUGGACCCAAAACUAAUGAAAUACUGGUUGGAAAGGUAACAUGCUUGGUCAAAUUGUCUAAAGUACUUUCAAGUUGAAUUGCAACAGCUUCCUGAUUUUGCUUUUAAAUGGGAAUCCAAACCCUUAAAUAAAUGCAUUUUUGUUUUAUCACAUUGAUAUGAUUCUAAUUGUUACUGCUCUUGAGUUGUUAACGAAAUUCAUGAAUCUCUGAAGCCAAUAUUUCUUUUCUCCAGGCAUUGAAGCAGCUACCGCGAGAGAAGGUGCAGUUAGCCACAAAAUUUGGUAUUGCAAAAAGGGAUGCUACUGGUGUCAUUGUAAAUGGUACUCCUGAAUAUGUCCGCACCUCUGUUGAGGCUAGCCUGAAGCGCCUUGAUGUGGAAUACAUUGAUCUCUACUAUCAGCACAGGGUCGACACCACCACUCCUAUAGAGGAUACUGUAAGAGCUGGAGCAGAAAGCAUCAAAGAUUUAUUUCUUCCAUAGAUUUCCUUAUUUCCAUACUCUCUUAUUAAUUGCGGGGCUAUCAUCUUUAGCUGGUUGAACUUAAGGUUAAGCUAUUUGGAUUUAACUUUCUUUCUUAGAUGGGUGAACUCAAGAAGUUGGUGGAAGAAGGGAAAAUAAAGUACAUUGGUUUAUCUGAAGCUAGCCCCGAAACUAUAAAGAGAGCACAUGCGGCUCAUCCCAUAACUGCUGUACAAAUGGAGUGGUCGCUCUGGACUCGUGACAUUGAGGAAGAAAUAGUCCCCCUUUGCAGGUUUCUUCUUGUAUCUUGAAGCAUUAGAACUAAAAAAACAGUAAAAGUUACUUGAAAUUCAAAGUUCGAACUCUUAACUUGAUAGUCAUUUUCAUUUCCCAAAUUAUACGUUGUUUGAGUACUGGUCUUGAGACUCACCUAUGCAAUCCAAGGCAUGAGAUAUGCCUAUUUAAAUGUCUUCAUUUAUGCAGGCAACUCGGAAUUGGGAUUGUUCCAUACAGCCCUCUUGGUCGUGGUUUCUUUGGUGGCAAAGCAGUUGAUGAAAGUGUGCCUGCAGAUAGUUUUCUGGUAUGGGAACACAUCUAUUAAUGGCUUUAACCUAUCUUUAAUCUUGUAUAAAGACAAGCCUUUCUAACCGGUAGCUUGGUUGACCGAUUGCCAACUUCUACUUUUAAGAGAUUGUUCCCAAGGUUUCAAGGAGAAAACUUUGACAGAAACAAGAUCUUAUAUCUGAAAGUAAAGAAGAUGGCUGAGAAGCAUGGAUGUACCACUGCACAACUUGCACUUGCCUGGGUUCUUCAUCAAGGAAAUGAUGUAGUACCUAUUCCUGGUAAGUCCACAUUCUGUAAUUUUCAACAUCCACUUUCCCCUUCUUGAUAGCCCGCAGAUAUUUCAACCAACAAGGCCCUUUCUUUCUCAUUUUGUAGGAACAACAAAGACAAAAAAUCUUGAUGGCAACAUUGAUUCA
rnacentral:lncRNA from 1 species